rnacentral:rRNA from 1 species
AGUUGCAUGGAUGAACCACGUAGUCAAAGCCCGCUCUUGUCUGAUCUCAGAAGUUGAGCAGGGUUGGGCCUGGUUAGUACGUGAACGGAAUACUGCUGGGAAUGGCAGGUGCUACAAUUG